rnacentral:rRNA from 1 species
GACGAACGCUGGCGGCGUGCUUAACACAUGCAAGUCGAACGAAGAGCGAUGGAAGCUUGCUUCUAUCAAUCUUAGUGGCGAACGGGUGAGUAACGCGUAAUCAACCUGCCCUUCAGAGGGGGACAACAGUUGGAAACGACUGCUAAUACCGCAUACGACCUAAUCUCGGCAUCGAGGGUAGAUGAAAGGUGGCCUCUACAUGUAAGCUAUCACUGAAGGAGGGGAUUGCGUCUGAUUAGCUAGUUGGAGGGGUAACGGCCCACCAAGGCGAUGAUCAGUAGCCGGUCUGAGAGGAUGAACGGCCACAUUGGGACUGAGACACGGCCCAGACUCCUACGGGAGGCAGCAGUGGGGAAUCUUCCGCAAUGGACGAAAGUCUGACGGAGCAACGCCGCGUGAGCGAUGACGGCCUUCGGGUUGUAAAGCUCUGUUAAUCGGGACGAAAGGCCUUCUUGCGAAUAGUGAGAAGGAUUGACGGUACCGGAAUAGAAAGCCACGGCUAACUACGUG